AUACGGAGGGUGCAAGCGUUACUCGGAAUCACUGGGCGUAAAGCGCGCGCAGGCGGCUUGGUAAGUUGGAUGUGAAAGCCUACGGCUCAACCGUAGAACUGCUUCCAAAACUGUCAAGCUAGAGUGUGGGAGAGGAAGAUGGAAUUAGUUGUGUAGGGGUAAAAUCCGUAGAGAUAACUAGGAAUACCAAAAGCGAAGGCAAUCUUCUGGAACACUACUGACGCUGAGGCGCGAAAGCGUGGGGAGCAAACAGGAUUAGAAACCCUAGUAGUCC
rnacentral:rRNA from 1 species